rnacentral:rRNA from 1 species
AAAUAGAUACCCUGGUAGUCCACCCCGUAAACGUUGGGAACUAGUUGUGGGUCCAUUCCACGGAUUCCGUGACGCAGCUAACGCAUUAAGUUCCCCGCCUGGGGAGUACGGCCGCAAGGCUAAAACUCAAAGGAAUUGACGGGGACCCGCACAAGCGGCGGAGCAUGCGGAUUAAUUCGAUGCAACGCGAAGAACCUUACCAAGGCUUGACAUAUACGAGAACGGGCCAGAAAUGGUCAACUCUUUGGACACUCGUAAACAGGUGGUGCAUGGUUGUCGUCAGCUCGUGUCGUGAGAUGUUGGGUUAAGUCCCGCAACGAGCGCAACCCUCGUUCUAUGUUGCCAGCACGUAAUGGUGGGAACUCAUGGGAUACUGCCGGGGUCAACUCGGAGGAAGGUGGGGAUGACGUCAAAUCAUCAUGCCCCUUAUGUCUUGGGCUUCACGCAUGCUACAAUGGCCGGUACAAAGGGCUGCAAUACCGCGAGGUGGAGCGAAUCCCAAAAAGCCGGUCCAGUUCGGAUUGAGGUCUGCAACUCGA